CCCUUAGAUGUUCUGGCCGCACGCGCGCUACACUGUUCGACGCAGCGAGUCUUAACCUUGACCGAAAGGUUUGGGUAAUCUUCAGCAAAGUCGAACGUGAUGGGGAUCGAUCAUUGCAAUUAUUGAUCGUGAACGAGGAAUUCCUAGUAAGUGCAAGUCAUCAGCUUGCGCUGAUUACGUCCCUGCCCUUUGUACACACCGCCCGUCGCUACUACCGAUUGAAUGGUUUAGUGAGAUCUCUGGAUUGACGCUGGCUAGGGGGCGACCCUUGGCCAGACUGUUGAGAAACUGCUCAAACUUGAUCAUUUAGAGGAAGUAAAAGUCGUAACA
rnacentral:rRNA from 1 species